CCCGACCCUGGCGACCUGCUGUUCCCGCGAUCUCUGCCUCCCCAAGAGGUUGCGGGCUCAGGAGGUGAGGUGGGGGCAGCUUCUCUAGAUCCUUCCUGCCGCGCCACCGCUGAUUAGGGUCACCCCACAUCCCCAGGAGGUCACGUCGCACAUCGGGGGCUAUGGGUCCUUACUGCGCCCCUCUGGGCUCUUCCCAGGUAGCGACAUAAUGUGUGCCCAGCGCCCUCUCGAAGAGGACAGAUUCCCGUGUUUGCCAGGCUGUGCUGGCUGAACCCUGGCACUUCCUGUCACAGUCUCCAUGGGCAAAGUUCUUUGCUCCCAGUCAGCCACACCACCGACUACUUUCUGCUUCAGAAGAGAGUCUCCACACUGGGAAGGUCAUGAUCUUAAGACUCUGGUGAUCCCAUUUGUUGGCCAGCCUUCUUUGGGCCUUCCUUGGCCUUGGCACACGGAUACACACAGAUUCAACUGCAAAGAAGCCCAGACAAAUGCAGAUGGCAGGCCUGGAUUUUCAUAUGCUAUAUACGAGCACAGGACGAACAGCCGGAGACCUUUCUUAUUAUAGAUUGCUAUGGCGAUAAAGAGAGUGUCUAGUAAUUGACAAAUCCUCAAGAAAUGCCAAGGUCUGAUGCAUGCUGAGAAAGCACCAGACUGCCGAUUCCCAGUUGCUUACUGUUGUACUCUCCAUGCUCAAACAAUAUCUGGCACGUAGUAAGUAUGAAGUAAACCUGUGAUGAAUGAAGGAUAUUGACAGAUAUUUUGAUUUGCGAGCGAGUGCCUGGAAGGCCACGCCCUAAUGUAGUGGCUGCUUCCAGGAGAUCGAAUUACUGAAAGAGUUUUGUUUUAAUUUUCCUAAUGUUAUUAAAAAGUUUAUUGCAUU